UUAGAGUUUGAUCCUGGCUCAGGACGAACGCUGGCGGCGUGCCUAAUACAUGCAAGUCGAGCGGACCGACGGGAGCUUGCUCCCUUAGGUCAGCGGCGGACGGGUGAGUAACACGUGGGUAACCUGCCUGUAUGACUGGGAUAACUCCGGGAAACCGGGGCUAAUACCGGAUGCUUGAUUGAACCGCAUGGUUCCAAUCAUAAAAGGUGGCUUUUAGCUACCACUUACAGAUGGACCCGCGGCGCAUUAGCUAGUUGGUGAGGUAACGGCUCACCAAGGCGACGAUGCGUAGCCGACCUGAGAGGGUGAUCGGCCACACUGGGACUGAGACACGGCCCAGACUCCUACGGGAGGCAGCAGUAGGGAAUCUUCCGCAAUGGACGAAAGUCUGACGGAGCAACGCCGCGUGAGUGAUGAAGGUUUUCGGAUCGUAAAACUCUGUUGUUAGGGAAGAACAAGUACCGUUCGAAUAGGGCGGCACCUUGACGGUACCUAACCAGAAAGCCACGGCUAACUACGUGCCAGCAGCCGCGGUAAUACGUAGGUGGCAAGCGUUGUCCGGAAUUAUUGGGCGUAAAGCGCGCGCAGGCGGUUUCUUAAGUCUGAUGUGAAAGCCCCCGGCUCAACCGGGGAGGGUCAUUGGAAACUGGGGAACUUGAGUGCAGAAGAGGAGAGUGGAAUUCCACGUGUAGCGGUGAAAUGCGUAGAGAUGUGGAGGAACACCAGUGGCGAAGGCGACUCUCUGGUCUGUAACUGACGCUGAGGCGCGAAAGCGUGGGGAGCGAACAGGAUUAGAUACCCUGGUAGUCCACGCCGUAAACGAUGAGUGCUAAGUGUUAGAGGGUUUCCGCCCUUUAGUGCUGCAGCAAACGCAUUAAGCACUCCGCCUGGGGAGUACGGUCGCAAGACUGAAACUCAAAGGAAUUGACGGGGGCCCGCACAAGCGGUGGAGCAUGUGGUUUAAUUCGAAGCAACGCGAAGAACCUUACCAGGUCUUGACAUCCUCUGACAACCCUAGAGAUAGGGCUUCCCCUUCGGGGGCAGAGUGACAGGUGGUGCAUGGUUGUCGUCAGCUCGUGUCGUGAGAUGUUGGGUUAAGUCCCGCAACGAGCGCAACCCUUGAUCUUAGUUGCCAGCAUUCAGUUGGGCACUCUAAGGUGACUGCCUGUGACAAACCGGAGGAAGGUGGGGAUGACGUCAAAUCAUCAUGCCCCUUAUGACCUGGGCUACACACGUGCUACAAUGGGCAGAACAAAGGGCAGCGAAGCCGCGAGGCUAAGCCAAUCCCACAAAUCUGUUCUCAGUUCGGAUCGCAGUCUGCAACUCGACUGCGUGAAGCUGGAAUCGCUAGUAAUCGCGGAUCAGCAUGCCGCGGUGGAUACGUUCCCGGGCCUUGUACACACCGCCCGUCACACCACGAGAGUUUGUAACACCCGAAGUCGGUGAGGUAACCUUUUGGAGCCAGCCGCCGAAGGUGGGACAGAUGAUUGGGGUGAAGUCGUAACAAGGUA
rnacentral:rRNA from 1 species